rnacentral:rRNA from 1 species
UACGAGAGGUCCAAGCGUUAGUCGGAAUCACUGGGCUUAAAGGGUGCGUAGGCGGGCCAGUAAGUGUCUCGUGAAAUCCCAUGGCUCAACCAUGGAACUGCGGGGCAUACUGCUGGUCUUGAGGAAGCUAGAGGCCGGCGGAACGAUAGGUGGAGCGGUGGAAUGCGUAGAUAUCUAUCGGAACGCCAAAGGUGAAGACAGCCGGCUAGGGCUUUCCUGACGCUCAGGCACGAAAGCGUGGGGAGCAAACCGG